rnacentral:rRNA from 1 species
GUGAGGAAUUUUCCGCAAUGGGCGAAAGCCUGACGGAGCAAUGCCGCGUGAAGGAUGAAGGCCUAUGGGUUGUAAACUUCUUUUCUCAGAAAAGAAUUAUGACGGUAUCUGAGGAAUAAGCAUCGGCUAACUCUGUGCCAGCAGCCGCGGUAAGACAGAGGAUGCAAGCGUUAUCCGGAAUGAUUGGGCGUAAAGCGUCUGUAGGUUGUUUAAAAAGUAUUCUGUCAAAGAUUAGGGCUUAACCCUAGAUAGGCAGAAUAAACUUUUAAGCUAGAGUUUGGUAGAGGCAGAGGGAAUUCCCGGUGGAGCGGUGAAAUGCGUAGAUAUCGGGAGGAACACCAAAUGCGAAGGCACUCUGCUGGGCCAAUACUAACACUGAGAGACGAAAGCGAGGGGAGCAAAUGGGAUUAGAUACCCCUGUAGUCC